GAUGAACGCUGGCGGCGUGCCUAAUACAUGCAAGUCGAGCGGACGGACGAGAAGCUUGCUUCUCUGAUGUUAGCGGCGGACGGGUGAGUAACACGUGGAUAACCUACCUAUAAGACUGGGAUAACUUCGGGAAACCGGAGCUAAUACCGGAUAAUAUUUUGAACCGCAUGGUUCAAAAGUGAAAGACGGUCUUGCUGUCACUUAUAGAUGGAUCCGCGCUGCAUUAGCUAGUUGGUAAGGUAACGGCUUACCAAGGCAACGAUGCAUAGCCGACCUGAGAGGGUGAUAGCCCACACUGGAACUGAGACACGGUCCAGACUCCUACGGGAGGCAGCAGUAGGGAAUCUUCCGCAAUGGGCGAAAGCCUGACGGAGCAACGCCGCGUGAGUGAUGAAGGUCUUCGGAUCGUAAAACUCUGUUAUUAGGGAAGAACAUAUGUGUAAGUAACUGUGCACAUCUUGACGGUACCUAAUCAGAAAGCCACGGCUAACUACGUG
rnacentral:rRNA from 1 species